AUGGACCAUUCCAUCCCUUAUUCCCGUGGCUAUGUGUCGGAUUCGGAUGACGAAGGUCCCGAUGAAUAAGUUGAUGAGGAGGGGUUCACAGUGAAGGAGGCUAAAGCUUUCGAGAAGGUAUUCGGGCGGGAUAAUCGAAGUACAUUGUCCAAGGAUGUUAGUUUCAUGGAUGAAGCCGUGGUAGAUGGUGGCCAAGGUAUAUCUCUUGGGGUUAGGCCAAGAUCUCACCGUGAUUUGGAAGAUGGCAAGAAUGGGAUUGCUCGUGGGUCUAAGUUCGAAACCUUCUUGGAAUUGAAGAUGUGGCUCGACAACUACUCAGUUACGCAUUAUCAUCCACACAAGGUGGUGAACUCAGACGUCAAUGUGCACUACACAGUUGCAUGUGAAGAUGAAAAAUGUCCAUGGAUUGUGCGUGCAAGACCAUGGAAGGAGGUCCCACUUGGCACGUAG
rnacentral:rRNA from 1 species